UCUCUCUACACUAUAUCAUUUAAUCAAGGCACAAAAAAGGUAGACCUGAUUUUCUCCCAAAUGGGUUGGUUUUUGUGUCUCUUAAAAUUAAUACCAAAUGAUAAGAAAACCUAGACUUUGGUAAACCUCCAGUUCAAAAAAGAAUGCUGCUCUAACUUACUGUUAUUCUUUUCUUCUUUUAAAUAUUUGAAUGUUCAUAUUCUAUCAUUGUAAAUCAGUAAUCAGCAAUAAUUGACAGUCAGGUGUUUGCGAGUGAAUGUCCUUUUAUUUAAAUGGUAUUGGAACAUCUAUAUGUUGCAGCUUAAGACUUUUAAGCAGUUUUCAGCAGGUUAAUGCCACUUUAUUCUCAUUCUCUCCGGACCUUCAUAGCCAUAUGCACUUGUAUAAAAUAAGCAGAAAUGUAGUGACUGUAAGCUGAGAUCGUGAUGUAACAGCUAGAAGGGAGUUAAUUAUAGCACUGAUCUGUUUCUAAAGGAGUAGAGCAGAAGGUCAACAAGCUGUCUACGAAGCAAUUCUGUUCUCCUCUCGAGCCUUUGCAGGGGCCAACAACUGGUGCUAAACUACCACUGCUGCUGCAGAAUGUCACCUGUCCUCCAGCUGUCCCACAAUCAUUCUGGGGCAUUUGCACUCCAAGAGAGAGCAACACUGUUGGGAGGGGAGGGAGAGGAAGUAUAUGGGACUGUCGAAAAGCAGUUAAAAUGUCGAAAAGCAUGGCCAAGUCUCUUCAGGCUAUAAUGCUUUAUAAGUCUGGCUCAGUUCUUAGUGACAAAGUUGAGCAUGAAACCUGUAUUUGCAAAACAUAUCUGCCCUUUGAUGAGGGGAACUAUGGAAAGGAGAAGCAUAACUGGAAAGUCUAAGGAAAACCCGAUGUUYGGAGAGUCCAACUCAUCAUUCACCUAUUUUUGUUGGUUUGUUUUCC